AGGGAUGCGUCGCGGACCAUGUGGACCGGGUAGCACUGGGCAGAUAAAGUAGUGUAGUUCUUCCGUCUUGCAAAAUUUUCAGCUUUGUAGCAGCGGCAUCGGUGCGCUCCCAAUGGAAGCUACUCUUCUCAAGCCUCGCUCUCAUUUCUGUGUGCAAGGUCGAGAUCAUUUGCCCAUAUUUCAGGAAAAUAAGUCAAGAUUAUUGAAAACAUCUGCUUUUCUCAAGAUGGGGGAUUCAAAAUUAAUUAGGAGGCAACUGUCUUUAUCUAGAAUGCAUGUAUCCUUGAAAGAAAAUAGAAGGGAUUCUUUUUCAAGGAGCAGAAUGCAUGUUCGAGCCGCAUCAACUGAAUCCAUAAAUUUUGAACAGUUUAUAGAGACACGAGAAAUUCCAGAAAGUUCUUUGAAUUUGAACAAUGAUGAAAAUUCAAAGUUUUUGGAGCCUAAGCCUGAGUCUUUCCGGAAUAAGUUUUUGAACUUUGUACGAAUCAGCUCAAUCAUUAACAAUGCUGCGGAAUCAUUUUUCAAAAGUGAAAUAAGGAGGAGAUUGUUUGUGACUGCCAUGUUGAUAAUAAUCAGUCGCAUUGGCUACUUUAUUCCAUUGCCAGGAUUUGAUAGAAGGUUGAUACCAGAAAAUUAUCUCAGCUUUGUUUCUGGUUCUGUUGAUGACCUGGGUGAUUUGACACCAGAGCUCAAGCUUUCCCUUUUUCAGCUUGGGAUCAGUCCACAGAUAGCAGCCUCAAUUCUCAUGCAGGUGCUUUGCCAUGUUGUUCCUUCUUUGGUGAAGCUGCGGAAAGAAGGCCUAGAUGGUCAUGAGAAGAUUAAGAGUUAUAUAUGGUGGAUUUCCCUUGGUUUUGCAGUGGUGGAGGCUCUUAUUCUUUCCUUUUAUUCUCUACCCUACUCUGUUUAUGCUGCUAGUCACAGGGUGAAACAUGUGAUGAUCACUACUUUGUAUCUGGUGUGCGGUGCAAUGACAAUGACUUGGAUUUGUGACAAGAUAACUGAGUCUGGAUUUGGUCAAGGAUCAUCACUAAUUAUCUGUGUUAGUAUAUUAACGGGCUACACGAAUACAUUGUACAAAAUGUUGACUCAGCUAUCAGGAAGUUCUGUGGGCUGGUGGCCAUAUGUUCUUGCAGUUUUAGGUGUUUUCACUGUUGUAACCAUGUGGGCAGUAGUCGUAACUGAAGGUUGCAGGAAGAUCAAGUUACAAUAUUAUGGUUUCAAACUUGCUUCUGCUGCCAGAGAAAAUUCUCCACUUACCGAAGUGGAGCCUUACAUUCCAUUCAACAUAAACCCUUCUGGAAUGCAACCUGUGCUCACCACAUCAUACCUCUUGGCAUUUCCUGGCAUUGUUGCAAGUCUUUUUGGAUCACGCCUUUGGGAGAAUUUGAGAGAUAUCCUGAAUCCGGACACGCCUUCUGGUGCACCGCCAUGGGUUUAUUAUUCCAUUUAUGCAUUUUUUGUAUUCCUUUUUAACAUAUUUGACAUCGCCAAUAUGCCGAAGGAAAUUGCGGAUUACUUAAACAAGAUGGGAGCCAGAAUUCCAAAUAUAAAACCUGGAAAAGCAACCAUAGAGUACUUGACAAAGAUCCAAGCUUCAACACGAUUUUGGGGGGGUUUGUUGCUUAGUGUUUUGGCCACUACAUCGUCAAUACUAGAUCACUAUUUACGCCGAAUAAAUGAGGGGUUCUCCAUAGGGUUCACAUCAAUUCUUAUAAUUGUGGGCUCGAUCAUCGAAUUGCGGAGAUCCUACCAGGCAUACAAUGUUAUGCCAAGUCUCUCCAAAACACUGCGCCGAUAUGGAUUGUGAAAGAUUGAUGCUCUUUCUUUUGAACUUUGAAGUAGAACCAUUUCCAUCACCAUUGUCAACAAUUUUCAAACUCAAGCAAGGUUCAUGUGUGGCUAGCGACAAUCAAGAUGACAUCCCUUGCAGGCAUAAUGAGGUGUCGCCGGAGGAAAAUUGCAUAGAGAAGCUCGUUCCAUGAAUCAGGGACCCCGGGGAGGCACCAAUGGCUGCAGUCUUGCCGAUGAAGAGAAACUGGUCCGACUGAAGGAUGCAAGUAAUACAAAGAAGAAUGACCG